rnacentral:rRNA from 1 species
GGUGGGGAUGACGUCAAGUCCUCAUGGCCUUUAUGCCCAGGGCUACACACGUAUACAAUGGGCGGUACAAAGGGAAGCGAGUCCGCGAGGAGGAGCCAACCCCAAAAAGCCGUUCACAGUUCGGAUCGGAGUCUGCAACUCGACUCCCGUGAAGUUGGAAUCGCUAGUAAUCGCGGAUCAGCAUGCCGCGGUGAAUACGUUCCCGGGCCUUGUACACACCGCCCGUCACACCACGAAAGUCGGCUGUACCAGAAGUGCGUGGGCUAACUUUUCGGAGAGGCAGCGUACCAAGGUGUGGUCGGUAAUUGGGGUG